GAAUUCGACACCACCUUGUUGCUGGUUCAUACAUUAUGUGGCAGCAGAUGGGCUUGCUGUGGCAUAUACAUAUAAGGUCACUGCAGUAAGCAAUUCGUGGGAGCUUUCACAAUCCUCUUCAGGCAGGCUACUGUACAGCAUGUUCUCUUUAUUGACUUCAGCGAGGAAAGGAUGAUGACAAUGAAACCCUCAAGUUGUCUGAAGAUAGGCAGGCAGUUCUGGGAUACAAGCUUGGUCAGUAUGUUGCCCCACAGAUUUUAUCUGAAAGGCAGGCAAACUUGGAUAUUGGCCAUGUCAAACAUGUGGUGAUAGUUUCAAAAAUAAUAAAAGUUAUUAUGGCUGUGUUGGGCCACAUGUUGUUUUAAUUCAGUGACACAUUAAAAAAAAACAGUGACACCUUUUCACUCAUUUUAAAUCUUCAUGUUAAUACAUUUUUUCACAUUCUAGGAAACUCUUUAAUAUACCUGAAAGGCUUACCUGUUUUGCUAUAGGAUAGUGCAUUCUAAAUGACUGUAACUAAAAUUGAAGUAAAUGAUUUGAAAGAUA